UACGUAGGGUGCAAGCGUGUCCGGAAUUAUUGGGCGUAAAGAGCUCGUAGGCGGUUUGUUGCGUCGGCUGUGAAAUCCCGAGGCUCAACCUCGGGUCUGCAGUCGAUACGAGCAAACUAGAGUGUUGCAGGGGAGACUGGAAUUCCUGGUGUAGCGGUGAAAUGACGCAGAUAUCAAGGAGGAACACCCGGUGGGCGAAAGGCGGGG
rnacentral:rRNA from 1 species